rnacentral:piRNA from 1 species
CAGAAGUCGACCAUCGUCUUCACGGUUGG